rnacentral:rRNA from 1 species
GAAGAAGGUGCAGAGUUGCGCGUUGUCAUUUAUGAAUUAACUGUUAGAGUUCUUUGAUUUGUCGCAAAGCUUGACGAUGGCAGCGAGCGUCAAGUUGCCGAGCAUGAUAUUGAGUUUAAGGUUAACAUGAAACAUUUUACGGUUGAAAAAAUGAUAGAACUCAUUCGAUCCAAAAUUGUUUGGGGAAGUAGGCAAGAGGUCCAUAUUUUGUGCCAAGACAAGCACUUUGAAUCAGUUGAGAGGAUCGAUAAUUAUUGGAAGCUACUGGCAGCUUUUCUUGAGAGAUGGGAAGAAAAAGAAUUGCUAGUGCUAGCUCAAGUUGUGGACAUUGCAAAUGGGGUUACAACAUCAUAUUGCUCUGAAAAUAUCCCAUCUAGUGAGAUUUUGGACAAUAUUAUCUGCUCAAGCUCUGAUGUUUACUAG